GUCUAUUUGAAGAUAUAAAAAGUCUAAUCUGCCCACUGACAGAAGUUUAAGGGCCGCGGUAAUCUGACCGUGCAAAGGUAGCAUAAUCGUUAGUUUUUUAAUUGGAAUCUUGUAUGAAUGAUUGGACAAAAGAAAAUCUGUCUUUAUAUUUUUUCUUGAAAUUAACUUUCAGGUGAAAAGGCUUGAAUAAGUUAAAAAGACGAUAAGACCCUAUAAAGCUUGAUAAAUCUAUAGUUAGUUUAGCUAAAUUAAUAAAUAAAAGCUAGAUGAUUAAUUUUAUUUUAUUGGGGCGAUGAUGGUAUAAUGAAUAUUAACUGCUAAAAACUUAGACAAAUAUAGAUGAUUGAGACCUUAGAUGAUCCUAAAAUUAAGAUUAAAAGUUUAAGUUACUUUAGGGAUAACAGCGUUAUUUUUCUUGAGAGUUCUUAUCGAAAGAAGAGUUUGCGACCUCGAUGUUGAAUUAAAGUUUCUAUACAAUUGUAGAAGUUGUAGUAGUAAGUCUGUUCGACUUUUAAAACUUU
rnacentral:rRNA from 1 species